GGGGAAUAUUGGACAAUGGGGGCAACCCUGAUCCAGCAAUGCCGCGUGUGUGAAGAAGGUCUUCGGAUUGUAAAGCACUUUCGACGGGGACGAUGAUGACGGUACCCGUAGAAGAAGCCCCGGCUAACUUCGUGCCAGCAGCCGCGGUAAUACGAAGGGGGCUAGCGUUGCUCGGAAUGACUGGGCGUAAAGGGCGUGUAGGCGGUUUACACAGUCAGAUGUGAAAUCCCCGGGCUUAAC
rnacentral:rRNA from 1 species